AGAAGAAGAAGAUGAUGGCGGUGGUUCCCGUUUGGCUUAUGAGUUGAGUCUAGCCUAUGUUGGCGUUUUUUUUGGAUGUUAAGCGAAUGAGGU